rnacentral:rRNA from 1 species
UACGUAGGGUGCAAGCGUUGUCCGGAAUUAUUGGGCGUAAAGAGCUCGUAGGCGGUUCGUCGCGUCGGCUGUGAAAUCCCGAGGCUCAACCUCGGGUCUGCAGUCGAUACGGGCGGACUGGAGUUCGGCAGGGGAGACUGGAAUUCCUGGUGUAGCGGUGAAAUGCGCAGAUAUCAGGAGGAACACCCGUGGCUAAGGCGGCUCUCUAGUACGGUACUGACGCUGAGACGCGAAAGCGUGGGGAGCGAACAGG